rnacentral:rRNA from 1 species
UUGGAGGGCAAGUCUGGUGCCAGCAGCCGCGGUAAUUCCAGCUCCAAUAGCGUAUAUUAAAGUUGUUGCAGUUAAAAAGCUCGUAGUUGAAUUUCGAGAUCAGUACGCUGGUCGUGCCUUCGGUAUGCACUGGUGUCACUGGUUUCUCCCUUCUGAAGAACCGUCAUGUCAUUAAGUUGGUGUGGCGGGGAAUCAGGACUGUUACUUUGAAAAAAUUAGAGUGUUUAAAGCAGGCUCGCGCUUGAAUACAUUAGCAUGGAAUAAUGAAAUAGGACGUUUGACCCUAUUUUGUUGGUUUCUAGGAUCGACGUAAUGAUUAAUAGGGAUAGUUGGGGGCAUUAGUAUUCAAUUGUCAGAGGUGAAAUUCUUGGAUUUAUUGAAGACUAACUACUGCGAAAGCAUUUGCCAAGGAUGUUUUCAUUAAUCAAGAACGAAAGUUAGGGGAUCGAAGACGAUCAGAUACCGUCGUAGUCUUAACCAUAAACUAUGCCGACUAGGGAUCGGAUGAUGUUAAUUUUUUAAUGGCUCAUUCGGCGCCUUACGGGAAACCAAAGUGUUUGGGUUC